rnacentral:rRNA from 2 species
UCUGGUAUUGAUUGGUGCUUGCAUCAUGAUUUACAUUUGAGUGAGUGGCGAACUGGUGAGUAACACGUGGGAAACCUGCCCAGAAGCGGGAGAUAACACCUGGAAACAGAUGCUAAUACCGCAUAACAACUUGGACCGCAUGGUCCGAGUUUGAAAGAUGGCUUCGGCUAUCACUUUUGGAUGGUCCCGCGGCGUAUUAGCUAGAUGGUGGGGUAACGGCUCACCAUGGCAAUGAUACGUAGCCGACCUGAGAGGGUAAUCGGCCACAUUGGGACUGAGACACGGCCCAAACUCCUACGGGAGGCAGCAGUAGGGAAUCUUCCACAAUGGACGAAAGUCUGAUGGAGCAACGCCGCGUGAGUGAAGAAGGGUUUCGGCUCGUAAAACUCUGUUGUUAAAGAAGAACAUAUCUGAGAGUAACUGUUCAGGUAUUGACGGUAUUUAACCAGAAAGCCACGGCUAACUACGUGCCAGCAGCCGCGGUAAUACGUAGGUGGCAAGCGUUGUCCGGAUUUAUUGGGCGUAAAGCGAGCGCAGGCGGUUUUUUAAGUCUGAUGUGAAAGCCUUCGGCUCAACCGGAGAAGUGCAUCGGAAACUGGGAAACUUGAGUGCAGAAGAGGACAGUGGAACUCCAUGUGUAGCGGUGAAAUGCGUAGAUAUAUGGAAGAACACCAGUGGCGAAGGCGGCUGUCUGGUCUGUAACUGACGCUGAGGCUCGAAAGUAUGGGUAGCAAACAGGAUUAGAUACCCUGGUAGUCCAUACCGUAAACGAUGAAUGCUAAGUGUUGGAGGGUUUCCGCCCUUCAGUGCUGCAGCUAACGCAUUAAGCAUUCCGCCUGGG